rnacentral:rRNA from 1 species
AGUGAACGCUGGCGGUAGGCCUAACACAUGCAAGUCGAACGGCAGCACAGUAAGAGCUUGCUCUUACGGGUGGCGAGUGGCGGACGGGUGAGGAAUACAUCGGAAUCUACUUUUUCGUGGGGGAUAACGUAGGGAAACUUACGCUAAUACCGCAUACGACCUACGGGUGAAAGCAGGGGAUCUUCGGACCUUGCGCGAUUGAAUGAGCCGAUGUCGGAUUAGUUAGUUGGCGGGGUAAAGGCCCACCAAGGCGACGAUCCGUAGCUGGUCUGAGAGGAUGAUCAGCCACACUGGAACUGAGACACGGUCCAGACUCCUACGGGAGGCAGCAGUGGGGAAUAUUGGAAAAUGGGCGCAAGCCUGAUCCAGCCAUACCGCGUGGGUGAAGAAGGCCUUCGGGUUGUAAAGCCCUUUUGUUGGGAAAGAAAAGCAGCAGGUUAAUACCCCGCUGUUCUGACGGUACCCAAAGAAUAAGCACCGGCUAACUUCGU